UGUUGGAUCAUGGUGUCUUCUUUCAUGUUACCAUAUUGGUAACAGUAGUCUAUUCCAUGGUGUAUAAUAUUUGUAUCUCUUCUAUGGUCUUGUUAAAUGCAAUUUCGUUUUGUCAAAAUACGAUGUCCUUUUUUACCUGUUUCAUUAAGAUUCUUUCAUCCGGUGCACAUCGUAUGAACAUUCCCUUUUUCCCUACGACCGAAACACGCAAAUGCGAGUGCAAUGCGAAAUGAUAGAAUACGUGAUUUAAAUCGUAGAACCGGGUCAUUCUAUAGCGUUGGCUAGAGUUGCGAAUUGCGUACAACUACGUUGCAGCGAAUCGCAACUUUGAAACCCUCGAAGCGAUGCAUCAGCGAAUUGAGAAGUCAAUGAACGGGAUAGCGCAAUGAAUUAAAUUGAUCGGCUGCGUAAUGGAGAUAAAUUGAAGAAGCACAGGCGAAUUAGAAGAUGCGCGUCUCGUUUGUAGGACUUAUAUAUCGUUUCGAGCUCGAGUGGACGGAACGCACUUCUUGUUUUUCGACGGAUUCAUCUUACGAACAUGAAAUUCAAAGAAAGAAUCAAAAUUCAUCGAAUGGUCGAGUCUUCGUUCUGCUUCUACCUCGUCUAACAAAUUUUCUCGUCUACAUACGGCACCAAUACCUUGCCAAAUUAAUCUUCUAUCGAAUUAACGAGCGCAGAAUAACGGUUAACUCAUCACGACCAUAAAUAUACCUGGCCAAGUUGAGCUAAUGAAUCUUCUACACCGCUGAUUCGCCGGACUUAACAAGAAUAAUAAACGGUAACGGAGGCUGCUAGUCUCUGGCAAGCGUUGUGACACGGUCGCUGGCAAACGUAACCGUGAGAAAAAAAGGCCCCGCAGCGAGGAAAGAGAGAAGAGGAGACGGUGAAGGUGAAGGAAGCAAAAGUAAAAGCGAACUGUGUGCAUCUCGAGUGGAAUGGAGCGAUAGAGUCGGUGCAUGGCAAACGAGCAGACCGAUUGCGUCCUGGCAAAAGCCGGAACCCGGUCCGCGAUGAGCACGCGCGUUAUCUAACGGGUUUUACGACCCCCUGUGCGAUGGACGCCACUAUAUCGAGGCAUUAUUCCUCUGUAUCUCAUCAUUUGUUACAAUUUAUCGCGUCCAAUCGAGAGGAAACGCCCUAUCGCUCGUUUUCUUCAUCUUGAAUAUCGCAACAAGAUGUUCGUACAAUAAAUACUUAUACACAGUACAUAAUUAUAACGAAAGGAUAUUUAAGCCUUAAUAACGAUAAUUUUAUCUACGACGUUUAAUUUAAUCUACGAAAGUGUAGUUUUUCUAAAUUUCGGAAUUUUUCUAAUAUUUUCCUUGCAACGUUUUUUCGGUUCGAUGGACGGACGAGACUCAACGACUGGUGGGGGGAAUUAGCGACAUACAGAAAAUCAGCGAAUUGAACGUGAAUUUACAUCGAUUACACGUCGGAUUUACAAAAGUUAGCAAUCAACUUAGUCCUUUAUCUUUAGGGAAAGCAAUGAAAUCUAACGAGUAUUUGAAACAACUUGCAGCCCUGGAUUCGUCUUUAAAGAAGAUCAACAUCGAAAUUGAUAAGUGUAAAUAUGCACGAGACGGUCUACUCGAGGAAAUCAGAAACUCUAGAAAUACAACUAACUGGAACAUACGGAGUACACGAUACAAACAGCAAUAGUCGAAAAUAAACCAGAAGAAUACAAAUGCGGAAUCAAUAAAGUAGCCCCAUUGUCUAUCGACGACGAGGCACAAGAAUAAACAUCACUACCACCAACGUGUGAACGGGACUGUUCAAAGGUCAGAGCGGGCGUCCGUUUAUGGCUCGAACAGCACCUACCCUUUCUUUAGGAAAUUUCAAAGUAUCCACAUUUUCCAAAGUCCUGUCCUCCCUUAGCUGAUGACUCAAAGACCAGAGAUAAACAACGAUUGCUGGGGGGAAUUAGUCAACCAAGUCAGUCGUCAACAAAACAUCGUACUGUGUGAAAUAUUUCAGUCUUCAACAGAGUGUCGUACUGUGUGGGUGAAAUAUUUCAGUCUUCAACAGAGUGUCGUACCGUGUGAGUGAAAUACUUCGGUCACCAGCAGAUUGUCGUGUCGUGCCGUGCGGGUGAAAUACCUCAGUCUCAACAAGGAAGAUCCUACCACCGCCGUGUUCAUAACAUCCAAUAACAUACAACAAAUGCAAAUAAGGUGCCAAAUUACACUAACACUUACUAAAUAUUAGGUUGUCGGAAAUAAUAGACGCACAAUGUUUUUCCUUUUAUAUUAUUUUGUCGAAUUACGUACGAUUCAUUUUGUUCUGUUAAGAUAAACACCGCGCCGUUUUACACACUUGGUUUCGCGUUUGUAUGAAGGUGCAUUGUUGUAAAAAGCACGUUUGCGAAAGAAAGAUACUUUCCGGACAACCUAAUAUUAAACCUCCUCCACCUUGAACGUUAAGUCAUUCAAGGUACGCGAUAUCGACCGAUCGGUUUGACCUGACCGGUUGCUUUUUAGUUGAUAAUUCGCAACAACGUUCGUAAUGUUCGUAACGAAGGGGUAGUUAACCCUUAAGAUGAAACUACGCUCGAAACUCUUAGUGUGGUUUAACUUUUUUAAACAUUUUUAAAUUUAAAAUUAAAAAUUUUCGUUUUUCUUGUAAGAUACGUAAUAACGAAAGGACAUUGGAGAUUGUUGUAAGAAUAAAACGACGCUUGAAAUUGUCGUUAUCGUUGCCUAAUCUCGGCAUUUUUCUCACAACGAGUUUGAUAUUUAGGAGGGAAGGAGAAAUAAGUAAUCUCUGUUUGCUACUGCGAUCUUAAGAUUUCUCAAUAUAACAGAUAGCACAAACCACGUGAUAUGUAUUCUACGCUCUUGACCUAUUUUCAUGUAGAAUAACAUCCUCCCCGUGAUUGUCCAUUCGUAUCUACUAUCCAGUCAUGUGUAUUUGACAAGUUUUCAAACUCGAUAUUCUUGAAAAUGAAGCUUCGCAGGAAAAAAUAUUAUCCCAGAUUUUCGAUUUAUCUUUCCAUGUAAAGUAACUUCCAGUUCGAUCCUUUCGCGUGUCCUGCCACGCUCUGUUCAUUGACAGUUUCAUAGAACAAGACAGUUUCGGAAGGGCUUUAAAUAAAAGGUUUAAACAGUUAUACUGGACGAUUUAAUUAAAAUUAAUUUAAUUU